GACAGAGGUGCCAAGCGUUAGGCGGAAUCACUGGGCUUAAAGCGUGUGUAGGCGGAAUGGUAAGUACCUUGUGAAAGCCCUCGGCUUAACUGCGGAAGUGCACCCGAAACUGAGUAGCUAGAGUCUCGGAGAGGAUCGUGGAAUUCUCGGUGUAGAGGUGAAAUUCGUAGAUAUCGAGAGGAACACCGGUGGCGAAGGCGGCGAUCUGGACGAUGACUGACGCUGAGACGCGAAAGCGUGGGGAGCAAACAGG
rnacentral:rRNA from 1 species